GACGAAUGCUGGCGGCGUGCUUAACACAUGCAAGUCGAACGGUAAGGCCCUUCGGGGUACACGAGUGGCGAACGGGUGAGUAACACGUGGGUGAUCUGCCCUGCACUUCGGGAUAAGCCUGGGAAACUGGGUCUAAUACCGGAUAGGACUCCGGACUGCAUGGUCUGGGGUGGAAAGCUUUUGCGGUGUGGGAUGGGCCCGCGGCCUAUCAGCUUGUUGGUGGGGUGAUGGCCUACCAAGGCGACGACGGGUAGCCGGCCUGAGAGGGUGACCGGCGACACUGGGACUGAGAUACGGCGCAGACUCCUACGGGAGGCAGCAGUGGGGAAUAUUGCACAAUGGGCGCAAGCCUGAUGCAGCGACGCCGCGUGAGGGAUGACGGCCUUCGGGUUGUAAACCUCUUUCAGCAUCGACGAAGCGAAAGUGACGGUAGGUGCAGAAGAAGGACCGGCCAACUACGUGCCAGCCGCCGCGGUAA
rnacentral:rRNA from 1 species